ACUCCUUUGAUAAUAGCUCAACACGGUGCCAUUUGCAAAAAAAAAAAUAGAAAAGAUGUUCAUCAAAUUGCUACAAUUGAAGUAGAAAUUGGACUUACUCAUGAAAGCAAUAAGGCUAAUCAAUUGGAUUCUUCUUCUUCUCUUUGUUGUCAUCUCUGCUGCCUUUGUUUUGUUCAUGUGUGUGAGAUUGAUGGGAAGUGGAAGAAUAACCCCAAUGCAUAAUAAUGGACUGAAUCCAACUGAUCUACUUGAACUUCCCGGAUAUGACACCUGUCGAGAAUCUUAUUAUUUUUUCAUGCCAAUUCUCACAGCCGAUGCCGAUAACAUCACAUCCCACCCAACAUUGGAACAACAGAAGAUUGAUGCUCUCAUCCCCUCGCCAUCUCUCGAAAGUCCUCAGACAAAUCCAUAGAGUGUCAAAACUCCAGUGCGUAAUAAUGUGAAAUUGUUGGGAAGUGCAACUAGAAGAAUGACUGCUUUCAGAAACAAUCCAUGGACUAAAAAUGACACCGACUAUUUUGAUCUUUCAUCAUCACCAGAGACAACAACGAAUGCCAAAGCUCCUAUCGAUCUGAAUCAAACACUUGUUCACUUUGUCUCUUUAUCAUCAACAUACAUAGAAGUAGGCUAUCGCACUUGUCCAGGCGAUCGAAUGCCGGAACCAGAGUGGAAAUUCAGGAAGUGUAGAUACAAUCUUGUUGUUCCAUUCUGCUCACCAUCUGUGGAAAGUCCUUAGACUGAAGAUGAAGAUUCAUCCAAUAAGGAUGAAUAUGCAGUUGAUGAAGAUGAAUAUGCAGCUGAUGAAGAUGAAGAUUCAGCCGAUGAUGAGCUUAAGUAGGUUUAGUAGAUAAUAUAUUCUUCCUUUAGUAUUUUUCUCUAAUGAUUUUGUUUACUAUUGUAUGAGUUUUUGGUUUGAGAGAAAUUACAUUUGUCAGCUGGUAAGGAAAAUGUCCAACUUCCCAGUUAAUGGCUCUAAAUUGGCGGUCAACCUUAUAAAAUUCUUUUAGUACCGUGUGUGAAAAAAACUGGUACCAAUCUAUUCAA